UACAGAGGUCUCAAGCGUUGUUCGGAUUCAUUGGGCGUAAAGGGUGCGUAGGCGGCGCGGUAAGUCGGGUGUGAAAUCUCGGAGCUUAACUCCGAAACUGCAUUCGAUACUGCCGUGCUUGAGGACUGGAGAGGAGACUGGAAUUUACGGUGUAGCGGUGAAAUGCGUAGAUAUCGUAAGGAAGACCAGUGGCGAAGGCGGGUCUCUGGGCCGUUACUGACGCUGAGGAGCGAAAGCGUGGGGAGCGAUCCGG
rnacentral:rRNA from 1 species